GUGGGGAAUUUUGGACAAUGGGCGCAAGCCUGAUCCAGCAAUGCCGCGUGCAGGAAGAAGGCCUUCGGGUUGUAAACUGCUUUUGUACGGAACGAAACGGUCCAGGUUAAUACCUGGGGCUAAUGACGGUACCGUAAGAAUAAGCACCGGCUAACUACGUGCCAGCAGCCGCGGUAAUACGUAGGGUGCAAGCGUUAAUCGGAAUUACUGGGCGUAAAGCGUGCGCAGGCGGUUUUGUAAGACAGGCGUGAAAUCCCCGGGCUCAACCUGGGAAUUGCGCUUGUGACUGCAAGGCUGGAGUGCGGCAGAGGGGGAUGGAAUUCCGCGUGUAGCAGUGAAAUGCGUAGAUAUGCGGAGGAACACCGAUGGCGAAGGCAAUCCCCUGGGCCUGCACUGACGCUCAUGCACGAAAGCGUGGGGAGCAAACAGGAUUAGAAACCCCGGUAGUCC
rnacentral:rRNA from 1 species